AGUUUGCUUUGAAGAGACUACAAAGAGGAAUCAAACCGAGGCCUCUCGAAUGUGUAAAUUGCAAUUCGAGUGACGGACGUUGGACACAUCGUGCCCCUGUUCCCCAACGUGUGUAAGCCGCUAUCGGACACGCGCUGGGAGACGAAGGACCACGACGGGAACACGAUAGUUCUGGAAGUCACGGGCUGCCUCUUGCCAUCAGCCAACAAGUCGCCUGGAAAAUAGCGUCACUCGAAAAAGAUCGGACCCGUUCCGAUGCCUCCGACAGGUCACGUGGUUCCAGUCGGGCGUCGUCGGAAACGACAUCAAGUCACUCGGGGAAAACGAUAGAAAUGUCCGGAUUUUACGUGUGAGAGUGCUUACCUCAUGAUGCCUGUGAUAGUGUGUGAAUGCUACAUCCGGUCACGUGACUUAUGGUGUUCGUGUGCGUGACUGUGUAAAUCUGUGUUGUUUUAAAAAGGAGGACACAUACAUUUGAAGUGCAAUACUUUCAAUAGCUGCCUACUGGAUGGAAUCAUUAACAUAGAAAGAACCAAUAACUCUUCUUGUACCAAUGUUCAGAGUAUCAAUACUACAUUGUAUUCAAGUACAUGUAUGCUUAAAUUGUGGCAACGAGAUCUUCAUUUAACUUUUGAUAAUUCUUUCCUGAACAAAUGAAUUGCCUGCUAAAGAUUUUGAAAGUCAUCAACGUGUCAUUCUCAAUGUAUUCAACUGUCAGAUUUAAAUGUACCUCGCCGUACCUUUGUUAUGAUCAGUCCUCUGUGUGAUAUUGUUUGAUUGGUUGUUUUUGUAUGUUGUGUGUCCGAAUUUCCUCGAUUAAGAAUGGAUUUGUAUUAUUCAUAAUUACAUUCGUGAUUUUAAACGAUCUUCAACAAUGUUCAGUAUAUAUUUGUCGUGAAGAAAUACCUUUUUAUAAUGCAUUUCUGCUAUAUCAAUUCACGUAAAGACGUAAUUAUUAUCUAUAUCAAUUCACAGUCAAUAAAGCUUUAAUUACAAAAGUCACGAUACUAUGAUUAUAUUCCCAGACACAAUUACACAAAAAUGCUUCCAAGAGCGAUUUAAUAAGUUGAUAUUGUAAUUGACUUCAUUUUCACAAAUGACAAAAAAUAUAAUUAGGCUACUUUAAUACUUUUAAUAUAUUUCAAAUAAUUAUACAAAAACUCAAGAAAAUGAAAUAUUCUUGUUGAUGUAUACUGUAUGGCGACAUCAUUGUGAUGUGAUCGACCAAAAGUCAGAUAUUGUGUAUUGAUAUGUUUACCAUUAAAUUAAUUUGAAAUAUAA
rnacentral:misc_RNA from 1 species